rnacentral:rRNA from 1 species
UAGAUUUAACUGCCAUAGGGUCAUGUGCCUCUUAGUUUGGGAUAGCCAUUGGAAACGAUGAUUAAUACCAGAUACUCCCUACGGGGGAAAGAUUCAUCGCUAAGAGAUCAGCCUAUGUCCUAUCAGCUUGUUGGUAAGGUAAUGGCUUACCAAGGCUAUGACGGGUAUCCGGCCUGAGAGGGUGAACGGACACACUGGAACUGAGACACGGUCCAGACUCCUACGGGAGGCAGCAGUAGGGAAUAUUGCUCAAUGGGGGAAACCCUGAAGCAGCAACGCCGCGUGGAGGAUGAAGGUUUUAGGAUUGUAAACUCCUUUUGUUAGAGAAGAUAAUGACGGUAUCUAACGAAUAAGCACCGGCUAACUCCGUGCCAGCAGCCGCGGUAAUACGGAGGGUGCAAGCGUUACUCGGAAUCACUGGGCGUAAAGAGCGCGUAGGCGGGAUAGUCAGUCAGGUGUGAAAUCCUAUGGCUUAACCAUAGAACUGCAUUUGAAACUACUAUUCUAGAGUGUGGGAGAGGUAGGUGGAAUUCUUGGUGUAGGGGUAAAAUCCGUAGAGAUCAAGAGGAAUACUCAUUGCGAAGGCGACCUGCUGGAACAUUACUGACGCUGAUUGCGCGAAAGCGUGGGGAGCAAACAGGAUUAGAUACCCUGGUAGUCCACGCCCUAAACGAUGGAUGCUAGUUGUUGGAGGGCUUAGUCUCUCCAGUAAUGCAGCUAACGCAUUAAGCAUCCCGCCUGGGGAGUACGGUCGCAAGAUUAAAACUCAAAGGAAUAGACGGGGACCCGCACAAGCGGUGGAGCAUGUGGUUUAAUUCGAAGAUACACGAAGAACCUUACCUAGGCUUGACAUUGAGAGAAUCCGCUAGAAAUAGUGGAGUGUCUGGCUUGCUAGACCUUGAAAACAGGUGCUGCACGGCUGUCGUCAGCUCGUGUCGUGAGAUGUUGGGUUAAGUCCCGCAACGAGCGCAACCCCCUUUCUUAGUUGCUAACAGGUUAUGCUGAGAACUCUAAGGAUACUGCCUCCGUAAGGAGGAGGAAGGUGGGGACGACGUCAAGUCAUCAUGGCCCUUACGCCUAGGGCUACACACGUGCUACAAUGGGGUGCACAAAGAGAAGCAAUACUGCGAAGUGGAGCCAAUCUUCAAAACACCUCUCAGUUCGGAUUGUAGGCUGCAACUCGCCUGCAUGAAGCUGGAA